rnacentral:rRNA from 1 species
GAUGAACGCUAACGGGAGGCCUAACACAUGCAAGCCGAGCGGUAGAGUUCCUUCGGGAACUUGAGAGCGGCGUACGGGUGCGUAACACGUGUGCAACCUACCUUUAUCUGGGGGAUAGCCUUUCGAAAGGAAGAUUAAUACCCCAUAAUAUAUUGAAUGGCAUCAUUUAAUAUUGAAAACUCUGGUGGAUAGAGAUGGGCACGCGCAAGAUUAGAUAGUUGGUGAGGUAACGGCUCACCAAGUCUGUAAUCUUUAGGGGUCCUGAGAGGGAGAUCCCCCACACUGGUACUGAGACACGGACCAGACUCCUACGGGAGGCAGCAGUGAGGAAUAUUGGACAAUGGGUGAGAGCCUGAUCCAGCCAUCCCGCGUGAAGGAUGACGGUCCUAUGGAUUGUAAACUUCUUUUGUACAGGAAUAAACCUAUUUACGUGUAAAUAGCUGAAGGUACUGUACGAAUAAGCACCGGCUAACUCCGUGCCAGCAGCCGCGGUAA